CGUUCAUUGUGAUUUGCCUGAAGAAAUAUAAACUCUCUCUCAUUCUUCCACUGUGAUUUGGACUUUAAUAACCAAAUCAUCGCUUUCCAAUAGGACCCUAUUCAGUCUCUCUUCAACUGUCUCUGUAAUGGUUUCAUGAACUGGAGUUCCAGGUUCUGUUGUAGAGAACCCUUCAGCAGCAGGGGAUGCUCCUAGGCCGUCAGAAAUUCUGAAUUCUGGUCUUUGCAAAGGAAGGUCAGAUAGCUUUUGCCCUAUUGAAUCAUCAGUGGCUAAGAUUUCUCUAUUCUGAUAAAGGAAGAUGAGGAAGAAUAACAGCAGAGCGGAGCCUGCUGAUACACCAGCUAUGAGGAAAAGGCCCUUAAAACUAUCUAAC